UGGCUGCUGACAAUCCACCUGU
rnacentral:piRNA from 1 species